UACGUAGGGUGCGAGCGUUGUCCGGAAUUAUUGGGCGUAAAGAGCUUGUAGGCGGUUUGUCGCGUCUGCUGUGAAAAUCCGGGGCUCAACCCCGGACUUGCAGUGGGUACGGGCAGGCUAGAGUGUGGGAGGGGAGACUGGAAUUCCUGGUGUAGCGGUGAAAUGCGCAGAUAUCAGGAGGAACACCGAUGGCGAAGGCAGGUCUCUGGGCCACUACUGACGCUGAGACGCGAAAGCGUGGGGAGCGAACAGG
rnacentral:rRNA from 1 species